rnacentral:lncRNA from 1 species
CUUAGAGUUUGGGAAGAGAGAAAAAAUAAAAAAAAAUAUUUUUCUCUCUAUCUUUUUUUUACCUCUUCAUCUUCUCUAGAUGAUCAUCUUCAACAUUUGAAAAGGUUCCAGAGACUUGAAGAAAGGGAUCCAGAUUAGUCAAGAAGAAGACUUUAUGUGAGCUAGUACUCCCGCGAAGAUCGAUCAGGUCGGAGCUUUGAGUGAACUUUCUAUAG